rnacentral:lncRNA from 1 species
AUAAAUAAAUAAAUAAAUAAAUAAAUAAAAAUAAAUUAGCUGGGUGUGGUGGUCUGUGCCUGUAGUCCCAACUACUCAGAAAGCUGAGGCAGGAGGAUCCCCUGAGCCUAGGAGUUCAAGGUUGCAGUGAGCUAUGAUCACCCUACUGCACUCCAGCCUGGGUGACAGAGUGAGACCUUGUCUAAAAAGACAAAGAAAGAAAGAAACCCAGGCGUGGUGGGUCACACCUGUAAUCCUAACACUUUGGGAGGCUGAGGCAGGUGGAUCACUUGAGGCCAAGAGUUUGAGACCAGCCUGGCCAACAUGGUGAAACUCCAUCUCUACUAAAAAUACAAAAAAAAAAAAAAAAGAAAGAAAAAAAUUAGCCAGGUGUGGUGAUGUGUGCCUGUAAUCCCAGCUGCUUGGGAGGCUGAGACAUGAGAAUCGCUUGAACCUGGGAGGUGGAGGUUGCAGCAAGCUGAGAUCGCACCACUGCUCUCCAGCCUGGGUGACAGAGCAAUACUCUGUCUCAAAAAAAAAAAAGAAAGAGCUUAAAACACUGAUUUCACACAUUUUGUUUUCUGUAUUCUAUGGCAGCACAGUAAGCUCCAUACUGACACCACUCCAUAAGUGGAAGCAGAAUUCUACUGACUCAGUCUUAAAUAUGAAUGGAUAACCCAGGAUCAGCAGACAAUUGAGUAAGGUAAUCUGUUAAGUUUUACAAUAUGG